rnacentral:rRNA from 1 species
AUUGAACGCUGGCGGCAUGCCUUACACAUGCAAGUCGAACGGCAGCACGGGGGCAACCCUGGUGGCGAGUGGCGAACGGGUGAGUAACAUAUCGGAACGUGCCCUGGAGUGGGGGAGUAACUAGUCGAAAGACUAGCUAAUACCGCAUACGAUCUACGGAUGAAAGUGGGGGAUCGCAAGACCUCAUGCUCGUGGAGCGGCCGAUAUCUGAUUAGCAGUUGGUGGGGUAAAGGCCUACCAAGGCAUCGAUCAGUAGCUGGUCUGAGAGGACGACCAGCCACACUGGGACUGAGACACGGCCCAGACUCCUACGGGAGGCAGCAGUGGGGAAUUUUGGACAAUGGGCGCAAGCCUGAUCCAGCAAUGCCGCGUGAGUGAAGAAGGCCUGGUU